UAGGUUAACGAGGCGAACCGGGGGAUCUGAAACAUCUCAGUACCCCGAGGAAAAGAACUCAACCGAGAUUCCCCCAGUAGCUGCGAGCGAACGGGGAGCAGCCCAGAGUCUGAAUCAGCUUGUGUGUUAGUGGAAAGGUCUGGAAAGUCCGACGGUACAGGGUGAUAGUCCAGUACACUAAAAUGCACAUGCUGUGAACUCGAAGAGUAGGGCGUGACACGUGGUAUCC
rnacentral:rRNA from 1 species